GUGGGGAAUAUUGGACAAUGGGCGAAAGCCUGAUCCAGCCAUGCCGCGUGAGUGAAGAAGGCCUUAGGGUUGUAAAACUCUUUCAACGGUGAAGAUGAUGACUGUAGCCGUAGAAGAAGCCCCGGCUAACUCCGUGCCAGCAGCCGCGGUAAUACGGAGGGGGCUAGCGUUGUUCGGAAUUACUGGGCGUAAAGCGCAUGUAGGUGGUGUGGCAAGUUAGAGGUGAAAGGCCUGGGCUCAACCUGGGAACUGCCUUUAAUACUGUCAUACUAGAGUUCGGGAGAGGGUAGCGGAAUUCCAAGUGUAGAGGUGAAAUUCGUAGAUAUUUGGAAGAACACCGGUGGCGAAGGCGGCUACCUGGACCGACACUGACACUGAGAUGCGAAAGCGUGGGGAGCGAACAGGAUUAGAAACCCCAGUAGUCC
rnacentral:rRNA from 1 species